UGAGUAACCUGCCCCUGACUCUGGGAUAACUGCUGGAAACGGUGGCUAAUACCGGAUAUGAGGUCCUCAUGCAUGUGGGGUCUGGAAAGAUUUUUUGGUCAGGGAUGGGCUCGCGGCCUAUCAGCUUGUUGGUGGGGUAACGGCUCACCAAGGCUACGACGGGUAGCUGGUCUGAGAGGACGACCAGCCACACUGGAACUGAGAUACGGUCCAGACUCCUACGGGAGGNAG
rnacentral:rRNA from 1 species